GGUAUGGUGAGCAACCAGUUUUUCUUAGGCCUCUUAGCAAGGGAAUUGAGAUGAGCCCCAUAGAGACUAGUGAACGGAAGACCCAAAGAAUAGUUUAAAUGUAAUGGAGGGUGAAUGAUUGCACUAAUGAAGUUUUUAAAUUUCCAAACAGGUCCUUCAUUUCUGAAUUUCAAGGUAAGUCAUCUUGUUUUUCUAGAUUGUAAUAUGGCUUGUAACCAGUGAUGUGAUGAUUCUGCCAAAUGAUACAAAGUGAUAUCACCUUUACAACCGUUCCAUUUUAUUUCUGAGGUUACUCUGGUAACAUGUUAGCUUGAACCAUUCUAAGCCAGAUGAGUAAGUUUUUGUUUUCUUAGGGCUCCUCUGACAAGUGGACAGUGCAGUGGGUGCACCUUUUCCAGAGGUGAGAAACUAAGACUGCUUUUAACCAUGACGUACUACAGAAUACAUGAUGAUCUCACUCCAACUUGAACUCUCUCACUGAUUACUUGAUGAAAGUAAAAGAUCUGAUGUUCUGUAUUUUAAUUAACAAUUACCAUCUAUUUAAGUUAAAUAGAAAUGUGCCUAACUGCUACCUCUGUUGCAGGUGACUGGAUGGAUGCUUGAACAGAAGAUUUGCCAAAUAGACAUUGUGCUGUCAAGAAUUUUACCAUUAAAAGUGCAUUAUUGUAGCAUCUGAAGUGUGAUUUGUGCAUUUUGUUCUGAUGAGCAUAUUGUGGGGACUUCUUCACAUUAGAGACAUAGGCUUAAAUCUGUCAGCUGAAGGUGGUGGGUAUGCUUGCCCUUUUAGAAGGUUACAGUUUCUUGGGGAUGUUGCUCAUUCUAUGGUCUGUUGGGUGCAGUUCCUGAGAUGACUUAAUUUUGUGACAAGGCAAGUUUGGGAUGCAUGAGAAACCACACUGGGUGUUGUGGUCCCAAAGGGAAUUGAGCUGAAACACUUUAAAUUUCAGUUACUCCCUUUAACACUGAUCCUCAUGUGGGCAUUGGCUCUAGGCAAGAUUUGUAGUGGGUAUUUGGAACACUUAAAAACUGGGAUG
rnacentral:lncRNA from 1 species